rnacentral:rRNA from 1 species
GACGAACGCUGGCGGCGUGCUUAACACAUGCAAGUCGAACGGAAAGGCCCUGCUUUUGUGGGGUGCUCGAGUGGCGAACGGGUGAGUAACACGUGAGUAACCUGCCCCUGACUUUGGGAUAACUUCAGGAAACUGGGGCUAAUACCGGAUAGGAGCUCCUGCUGCAUGGUGGGGGUUGGAAAGUUUCGGCGGUUGGGGAUGGACUCGCGGCUUAUCAGCUUGUUGGUGGGGUAGUGGCUUACCAAGGCUUUGACGGGUAGCCGGCCUGAGAGGGUGACCGGCCACAUUGGGACUGAGAUACGGCCCAGACUGCUACGGGAGGCAGCAGUGGGGAGUAUUGCAGAAUGGCCGGAAGCCUGAUGCAGCAACGCCGCGUGCGGGAUGACGGCCUUCGGGUUGUAAACCGCUGUCGCCUGAGACGAAGCGUGAGUGACGGUAAUGGGUAAAGAAGCACCGGCUAACUACGUG